rnacentral:sRNA from 1 species
GCUGGGCGCGGUGGCAAAUGCCUGUAAUCCCAGGAGCUCAGGAGGCUGAGGCAGGAGAAUCUCGAGUUCAAAGCCAGCCUCAGCAAUAUCAAGGCACCAAGCAACUCAGUGAGACCCUGUCUCUA